rnacentral:rRNA from 1 species
CAAUAGUUAAAACUUUCAACAACGGAUCUCUUGGUUCUGGCAUCGAUGAAGAACGCAGCGAAAUGCGAUAAGUAAUGUGAAUUGCAGAAUUCAGUGAAUCAUCGAAUCUUUGAACGCACAUUGCGCCCCUUGGUAUUCCGGGGGGCAUGCCUGUUCGAGCGUCAUUAC